UAACGAAUAUUGGGCAAUGGGCGCAAGCCUGACCCAGCGACGCCGCGUGUGGGAUGAAGUCCUUCGGGAUGUAAACCACUGUCAGGGGUUACCAAGCAACCCGCUCGAACAGGGCGGGAAGUUGAGGAGCCCCAGAGGAAGCCACGGCUAACUCUGUGCCAGCAGCCGCGGUAAGACAGAGGUGGCAAGCGUUGUUCGGAAUCACUGGGCUUAAAGCGCACGUAGGCGGCCUGUCAAGUGCCUUGUGAAAUCCCCCGGCCCAACCGGGGAAUUGCUGGGUAGACUGAUGGGCUUGAGGUAGGUAGGGGCGAGUGGAACUCUUGGUGGAGCGGUGGAAUGCGUAGAUAUCAAGAGGAACGCCGGAGGUGAAGACGACUCGCUGGGCCUGUCCUGACGCUGAGGUGCGAAAGCCAGGGGAGCAAACG
rnacentral:rRNA from 1 species